UGGGGAAUAUUGCACAAUGGGGGAAACCCUGAUGCAGCCAUGCCGCGUGUGUGAAGAAGGCCUUCGGGUUGUAAAGCACUUUCAGUAGUAAGGAAAGGUAAGUGGUUAAUAACCGCUUACUGUGACGUUAGCUACAGAAGAAGCACCGGCUAACUCCGUGCCAGCAGCCGCGGUAAUACGGAGGGUGCAAGCGUUAAUCGGAAUUACUGGGCGUAAAGCGCACGCAGGCGGUUUGUUAAGUCAGAUGUGAAAUCCCCCGGGGCCCAACCUGGGAACUGCAUCUGAUACUGGCAAGCUUGAGUCUCGUAGAGGGGGGUAGAAGUUCCAGGUGUAGCGGUGAAAUGCGUAGAGAUCUGGAGGAAUACCGGUGGCGAAGGCGGCCCCCUGGACGAACGACUGACGCUCAGGUGCGAAAGCGUGGGGAGGCAAACAGGAUUAGAUACC
rnacentral:rRNA from 1 species